rnacentral:tRNA from 1 species
GGCCCCAUCGUCUAGUGGUCUAGGACGUCGGGUUCUCAUCCCGGCAACGGCAGUUCGACUCUGCCUGGGGUCACCC